rnacentral:rRNA from 1 species
AGUCAACGCUGGCGGCGUGCCUAACACAUGCAAGUCGAACGCGAAAGGGGCUUCGGCCCUGAGUAGAGUGGCGAACGGGUGAGUAACACGUGGGUGAUCUACCUCGAAGUGGGGGAUAACGUUCCGAAAGGAGCGCUAAUACCGCAUGAUGUGCCUGGGUUGAAGCCUGGGCCACCAAAGCUGGGGACCGCAAGGCCUAGCGCUUGGAGAGGAGCCCGCGCCUGAUUAGCUAGUUGGUGGGGUAAUGGCUCACCAAGGCGACGAUCAGUAGCCGGCCUGAGAGGGCGGACGGCCACACUGGGACUGAGACACGGCCCAGACUCCUACGGGAGGCAGCAGUGGGGAAUAUUGGACAAUGGGGGGAACCCUGAUCCAGCCAUGCCGCGUGUGUGAAGAAGGCCUUAUGGUUGUAAAGCACUUUAAGCGAGGAGGAGGCUACUGAGACUAAUACUCUUGGAUAGUGGACGUUACUCGCAGAAUAAGCACCGGCUAACUCUGUGCCAGCCGCCGCCAUAAGAC